rnacentral:rRNA from 1 species
GAUGAACGCUGGCGGCGUGCCUAAUACAUGCAAGUCGAGCGAACGGACGAGAAGCUUGCUUCUCUGAUGUUAGCGGCGGACGGGUGAGUAACACGUGGAUAACCUACCUAUAAGACUGGGAUAACUUCGGGAAACCGGAGCUAAUACCGGAUGAUAUUUUGAACCGCAUGGUUCAAAAGUGAAAGACGGUCUUGCUGUCACUUAUAGAUGGAUCCGCGCUGCAUUAGCUAGUUGGUAAGGUAACGGCUUACCAAGGCAACGAUGCAUAGCCGACCUGAGAGGGUGAUCGGCCACACUGGAACUGAGACACGGUCCAGACUCCUACGGGAGGCAGCAGUAGGGAAUCUUCCGCAAAGGGCGAAAGCCUGACGGAGCAACGCCGCGUGAGUGAUGAAGGUCUUCGGAUCGUAAAACUCUGUUAUUAGGGAAGAACAUAUGUUUAAGUAACUGUGCACAUCUUGACGGUACCUAAUCAGAAAGCCACGGCUAACUACGUG